rnacentral:rRNA from 1 species
CAUGGGUAGCAAACAGGAUUUGGUACCCUGGUAGUCCAUGCUAUAAACAAUGAAUAUUAAAUGUUUAAUAUCAAAUUUAACAUAAAAAGUUAACACGUUAAAUAUUUCGCCUGGGGAGUAAAACCGCAAGGUUGAAACUCAAAGGAAUUGACGGGAGCUUAUACUUACGGUGGAGCAUGUGGUUUAAUCCGAUAGUCCGCGUGGAAUCUUACCAAUUUUUGACAGUCCUAAGUUAUACAUAGGAAACAGGUGUUGCAUGGCCGUCGUCAGCUUAUGUUUUGAAAUUUAAGAUAUAAGUAUAACCCUUACUUUAAUUUACUAAUAUUCAAAAAAAUUAAAAAUAUUUAAUUAUAUUGAAUAAGUACUAUUAAAUUUGAAAUAUGUAAAUAUUUUAAAGGAUGAAGAUAGGUCGUUAUGACCCUUAUAAAUU